rnacentral:rRNA from 1 species
ACACUGUACGAGUUUGAUCCUGGCUCAGAACGAACGCUGGCGGCAGGCCUAACACAUGCAAGUCGAGCGAACCCUUCGGGGUUAGCGGCGGACGGGUUAGUAACGCGUGGGAAUAUACCCUUUGGUACGGAAUAGCCUCGGGAAACUGAGAGUAAUACCGUAUGUGCCCUUCGGGGGAAAGAUUUAUCGCCAAAGGAUUAGCCCGCGUUGGAUUAGGUAGUUGGUGGGGUAAUGGCCUACCAAGCCUACGAUCCAUAGCUGGUUUGAGAGGAUGAUCAGCAACACUGGGACUGAGACACGGCCCAGACUCCUACGGGAGGCAGCAGUGGGAAUCUUAGACAAUGGGCGCAAGCCUGAUCUAGCCAUGCCGCGUGGACGAUGAAGGCCUUAGGGUUGUAAAGUCCUUUCAGAUGGGAAGAUAAUGACGGUACCAUCAGAAGAAGCCCCGGCUAACUCCGUG